rnacentral:ncRNA from 1 species
GCAGAGUAGGCUGACAGGCGUGAAGUGUCCGACAGACGGGGAGUUGUUGUCGGGACGAAAAGCGCAAGCUUGCGGUCGGUCAGCCGCAUCCCGCUGC